rnacentral:rRNA from 1 species
GACGAACGCUGGCGGCGUGCUUAACACAUGCAAGUCGAACGGAAAGGCCCUGCUUUUGUGGGGUGCUCGAGUGGCGAACGGGUGAGUAACACGUGAGUAACCUGCCCUUGACUUUGGGAUAACUUCAGGAAACUGGGGUUAAUACCGGAUAGGAGCUCCUGCUGCAUGGUGGGGGUUGGAAAGUUUCGGCGGUUGGGGAUGGACUCGCGGUUUAUCAGCUUGUUGGUGGGGUGGUGGCGUACCAAGGCUUUGACGGGUAGCCGGCCUGAGAGGGUGACCGGCCACAUUGGGACUGAGAUACGGCCCAGACUGCUACGGGAGGCAGCAGUGGGGAAUAGUGCACAAUGGGCGGAAGCCUGAUGCAGCAACGCCGCGUGCGGGAUGACUGCCUUCGGGGUGUAAACCGCUUUCGCCUGUGACGAAGCGUGAGUGACGGUAAUGGGUAAAGAAGCACCGGCUAACUACGUG